rnacentral:rRNA from 1 species
GGGUGCAAUCGUAAUAAUGUUAAUGCAAUAGAUUCCAUUAGAACUCCGCAUUUAAGAGCGCUUAGGUUUAGAGUAGUAUUGGGAUGGGUGACCUCCCGGGAAGUUCUAGUGUUGCAUCCU